rnacentral:tRNA from 1 species
GGGGGUGUGGCUCAGCGGUAGAGCCCAUGCUUAGCAUGUACAAGGUCCUGGGUUCCAUCCCCAGUCCCUCCA